AGCUCCAAUAGCGUAUAUUAAAGUUGUUGCAGUUAAAAAGCUCGUAGUUGGAUUUCUGGCGUCGCCGCCCGGUCGGCCUCGAAAGGGGUUCGCACUCGUUGGCGCGCGUCGCCAUCCUCGGGGGAAGGCCGCCUGGCAUUAAGUUGUCGGGCGGUCGACGCUCGUCGUUUACUGUGAACAAAUUAGAGUGUUCAAAGCAGGCUUAGGCCGUUGAAUACAUUAGCAUGGAACAAUGAGAUAGGACUUUGGUGGUCUAUUUUGUUGGUUUGCACGCCGAAGUAAUGAUUAAUAGGGGCGGUUGGGGGUAUUCGCAUUCAAUUGUCAGAGGUGAAAUUCUUGGAUUUAUGGAAGACGAACUACUGCGAAAGCAUUUACCAAGGAUGUUUUCAUUAAUCAAGAA
rnacentral:rRNA from 1 species